rnacentral:lncRNA from 1 species
UCAUCUUUACUCACCAAGGAAUUCUAAAAUCCAUCAAUGAGAAAUGGUAAGGAACAAAAUAAAAUUGUAUUAAAUUCAUUCCUCAAAAUAGUCCCAAAUUCUUAAAAACUAUCCUAUGAAACUUUACUGAAAUGGUUUAUAACAAUUUGAAAGAAUUGAGAAUAAAUAUAAGAUUUAAAAUUCUGUAUCAUGCAUUACUGCUCAUUUCAAAAUGAAACAUUAGUAAAUGUAAGGAAAGUUAGAAGUUUUUGUUUUGCUUUAGUUUAUUUUUAAAAUUUUUGUUUUGUUGUGUACUUUUAAAGAAAAAGGCCACUUACCCACAGAAGCUGAAUUUUAACACAAAUGUAAAGUUUGG